GCCCCUAUAGCUCAGUGGUAGAGUAUCAGUCUUGUAAACUGAAGGUCUGUAGUUCGAUUCUGCAUGGGGGCA
rfam:Nelumbo nucifera unplaced genomic scaffold scaffold00065, whole genome shotgun sequence